AACCUCGACUCCUUAACCCUCCGAUCUAAACAUCAGUCUGAGUGGCUGUAAAAGGAGGCAAAAAAAAACUGAAACAGACUUGAAUUCUUUCAUGACAUACAAGUUGGUUUCCCCUAAUA
rnacentral:snoRNA from 1 species